rnacentral:rRNA from 1 species
GAAAAACCUUACCUACCCUUGACAUGUCUGGGAAGGCCGAAGAGAUUUGGCUGUGCUCGCAAGAGAACCGGAACACAGGUGCUGCAUGGCUGUCGUCAGCUCGUGUCGUGAGAUGUUGGGUUAAGUCCCGCAACGAGCGCAACCCUUGUCAUUAGUUGCUACGAAAGGGCACUCUAAUGAGACUGCCGGUGACAAACCGGAGGAAGGUGGGGAUGACGUCAAGUCCUCAUGGCCCUUAUGGGUAGGGCUUCACACGUCAUACAAUGGUCGGGGACAGAGGGUCGCCAACCCGCAGGGGGAGCCAAUCCCAGAAACCCGAUCGUAGUCCGGAUCGCAGUCUGCAACUCGACUGCGUGAAGUCGGAAUCGCUAGUAAUCGCGGAUCAGCAUGUCGCGGUGAAUACGUUCCCGGGUCUUGUACACACCGCCCGUCACACCAUGGGAGUGGGUUUUACCAGAAGUAGUUAGCCUAACCGCAAGGAGGGCGAUUACCACGGUAGGAUUCAUGACUGGGGUGAAGUCGUAACAAGGUAGGCGUAGUGCU